rnacentral:rRNA from 1 species
AGGGCACCACCAGGAGUGGAGCCUGCGGCUCAAUUUGACUCAACACGGGGAAACUCACCCGGCCCGGACACCGUAAGGAUUGACAGAUUGAGAGCUCUUUCUUGAUUCGGUGGUUGGUGGUGCAUGGCCGUUCUUAGUUGGUGGAGCGAUUUGUCUGGUUUAUUCCGAUAACGAACGAGACUCUGGCCUACUAAAUAGUGACAGGAUUAUUACUGUCUUGGAUACUUCUUGGAGGGACAAGUGGUUUUCAGCCACACGAAAUUGAGCAAUAACAGGUCUGUGAUGCCCUUAGAUGUCCGGGGCUGCACGCGCGCUACACUGAAAGAAUCAGCGUGCUAAAACCAUUGUCGAAAGGCAUUGGUAAACCCAUUAAAAAUCCUACGUGAAUUGGGAUCGGGAAUUGCAAUUAUUUCCCUUGAACGAGGAAUUCCCAGUAAGUGGUGGGUAUAAGCUCGCGUUGAUUCGUCCCUGCCCUUUGUACACACCGCCGUCGCUGCCCGGGAUGAACCGUUUCAAGAA